AACCAUUCAGCUGCGCAUCAAGGGCGCCUCCCCGCGAUAGCCACGUCAUCACAGGUACGACAAAAAUAAAACACGGUAGCGAUUGGGUGAGAGGGAAAACGAGAUCGGGGGGUUAGCGUGUAUAGAACGGCUUCUCGUCCCCAACCCCGCCGCCGCCCCAAUCCCACCACCGGCGGCCUCCUCCUCCCCUAACGCUGCCGCUCCAGCCCCUCACCUUCCUCGGCCGAUUUAGCACCGUCGCCGCCCCUCGGCACGCAACCUCUCCUCUCCUCCGCGGCUCCGCCUCUUCCUUCGGCGGCAUCCAACCCAAUCGCCAUCUCCUACUCCCCUCUCUUAUUCCCCUGCGCCUCGACGAGGUGGGCCAAGCCGGCGCACGCAGCAAAGGGCGACUGCGGAUGCAGCUCGGACGCGGGCGCGCAGAGGUGGAGGCGGAGCUGCGGCGGCUGGUGGUGGACGGGAAUCCCGCCGACCGCAUCCCUCCCCAAACUGCAGCGAUGAUGGAGGGAGCCGCCAGCGCCGGCCAGCUACCGACCGACGGGCUCGCCGGUCGCGCAUCGGCUUGGAGGCCCCCCUGGGUUGCCGCCGGUGCGGGAGGCGUCCGCGGCCGUGCGGACUGGGGACCGAGCGGCGGGGCCCGUGGUGCGUUCUGGUCGAGGGCUUGCUCGAUCUGGCACGCGAUCUGAGACCCCGUCAAUGGAUUUCUCGCAGCCCGGCUGUUUGUUUUGGAUUCAGUACGACCCACAUCUCUCUCACACACAUGUUGCGGCCGAAAUCACUGGUUUGACUUAUUUGGAAAAGUUCAGCACAAAAUGAACCAUGUUGGAAACAUAUCUGGGGCGAUGAUGAUAAAACAUGGCUGACAUAAACUUGUCUUUGAUUAUUCAAGGACCCGGGGGCAUAAAAAACCCACUCCCCCCUCUUUUGGAACCUUUUCAUUCUCACUGAAUAUUGACGGCUCCGUAUUGGAUGGUCACUCUUUGAGUGAUGGAGCUCGACUUCAGUGGUGGGGAUUGAUCUGGUGCAAGAAGACGCUGGAGCCGUGGUGCUAGGUUCUAUGAUCUAUCAAAGGCGAAUCUAAGCCCUCUCAAAUCUCAAUGCAACUAAUAUUGUGGCCUCUACACAUUUAUUUAUCCCCUUUUUAUGUUUAAAAGUGAUGAAUUGUUGUGGUUGUGGCAUCUGCUAUCUUAGUAAGAGCAGCUAUGCAAAUAUCACCUCUCGUGGUGUUUGGUUUGCCUUCUCAUUAUUUUGUUGUCCAUGGUGGGAACCAGUUUGGUGCAUUCAGACUUUUUAUUUUUCUGUUUUUACUUUUCCUUGAAUGGCUGUGAUCAUUCUGCUGUCCCUUGGAUAGUUUAUUUUAGGUUAUUUUAUCGGGUUCGGGUCAGUUUGCUUGUUUCAGUUGUUGUUUUACUUUUUAUAAUAUCUUUCUUCUACUAUACUAUUUAUCUACUUAUCAGUUUGUACUUUUGGUUACUCCCCACUUCUUUACUGGUUUCAACUUAUGGGUCAUAUAGGGCAAGUUCAGAUGUCAAGAUAACGGUUUCCUUCCUAUCAUGUUCAUGAAUGGCUAUGAUGAUAUAGCUUUCCUGCGUCGAUCUAACAUCUGUUUGGAUUUUGUAUAUUGAGCAUUUAGGAGGCUGUUCUGGAUUGAUGCGCUUUGUAGUGGCAGAAUUCAUGUUUAAUUUAUUGCAGGAGAUGAAAUUGAGAGGCUGAUGUAAAUUCGUUUGUGUGUAGAUUUUGUCAGUUCUAGGAUUGGAUGUUUAUGCAGUCUCUCUGUCUCUCCUGGAGGUUAGCCGAUUGAUGGAUUUGACUGCUGAUCCCUUUGUGUUGGCUGAUGGUGUUGAGAUAGAAAUAAGGAUUAAACAUGACCCUGAUGCUGAGGCAAUAUUCCAAUAUCAUUAGAGGGCCAGUGUUCUUCCAAAGAUGAUUUAGAAUCUCAAAAAUGUUUCUUACGUAGUCAGGAAUUUGGGUUCAUGGUUGAAGUAACAAAUACAUAUGCAGCUUCUUGGUUCUGUCGUUUACAAUUCUUUUUUUAGGUAUGUUUACAACCUUUGUUGUUCCAUAUAGUUUGUUUCUUAAAUAUCCUAAGCAUAUAUUAUCGAAUAGACUCACUUUCCUGUUUUUGUGAUAAAUGAAAAGAAUAAUGUACAUGUUAAUGACAUGAUAAAUCUUCUACUUUCAAUUUGGUUAUGAUUUGAGAAUGCUCACAUAUAUUUUCUGUGCUGCAUCACCCCAUGGUCUGUGAUAGUGUCCAACUAGGGAUUUGAAUGUCAGGACCUAGCUAAUACUACGAUGUUAUCAGGUUAAUAAAUAAUACAGUACUGUUUAGCUAUUAGGUUCUAUGAGUAUGGCCGGGGUGAACCCUUCAACUUUGCUCAUUGGCACUGAAAGAAUAAAUAAUUGAUCUUUCAUUUCUUCAUUGAAAAUAUGUCAUUUUGUUUUUAAAGAAAAGUUAUAUGAAAAGUUGUAGUAGAACACUGCUAGCUGUAAUUCCCCAUGUGUCUUGGCAUUUUAGAUGGAGUGGGAACCUUUAAGAGGAAGUAUCAAGCGGCAUGAGCACCUAUGGUAGAAUGAUGUGUUGACAGUGUACCUAAUCCACCUGUAUUGACAAUGCAUAUAAUUUUUAAACUCAAGAUUAUAUUAUCAGCUGCAAUCUCUGUUCUCUUUUAAACUCAAGACUUUUAAACAAGAUCAUAUACAAUGUGAACCAAAGAUAGUUGAGUAUACAGUUUAAUUCUGCAGUUUGUUCUGUUAGACAAAUUACUAUUGUGUUGAAUCCUUGCUGUGGUGUGCUUAAUUGUUUCCUUAUGUUUGUACCUGCCAGUUCUAAGCACCUAUCUUUUCUUCUUAUUUUGUAUCUAUACAUAACAAUUCUAUUUUUCUUACCUCUGCAAUUAUACGACCUGUAUAGUAUUCACAUGGAUCUUAAGGUACUGAACUUCCAAAUUAGAACAUGGCCUAAAUUUGAGAUUUCCCGAAUGUAUACUUUUGUUUUCUUUCAUUCUUUGGAGGUGAUAAGUUGGUUGCUUAAUGCUCUUUACUGCAUGAGUAAAUUUCUUUUUCUUUAUUUCUAAAGUCAGUUUUAUUUUCUUCGUGAAUGUUUCUUGACGCAAAUAUAUAGUGAAAGUGGUUUCAGAAAAGAAGCAAAUCGUUCGAGCCAACCUAUUUAUAUGGUGUGGAGAAUCGAAGGUUCUUGGCUUAUUGAUAUCAUCUGGUCAUUUUUAUAGGUGCCUGACUACAUAAUGAACUUUCUAGCUGUGUUGAUGACAACAAGAAGAAAAGCUUCUUUGACCAGGUGUGUCUUGGGUUGUAUCCUUGAAAUAUUUCACUGCCUAUGUUGGAUCGAUGAUGGAUCUCAUACUUGCAAGGGACAUUUACUAACAAACUACCAAAAAUAUCUAACUACUUUAUUGUGAUAAGUUUUUAUAUGAAAGUCACAUGCGAACUUGUCUGGUAGUAGCUUUCUGUUUGAAGUCAAUGGGAUUUCAUAUGAACAAGUGCGUAAGAAAGUAAAGAUUGUUCUUUUCCUGCUAAAGUUUUCAUUGUGCAGUUUUGCUGACUUAAUUCAAGCUAUCCUGGUGGACUGACAUCAUACAUCCAGAAUGCCAAAAGGCUUUUGGUAGAUUGCAAGGCAGGAUAAAAUCCAUACGAUGGUUCCACACCUUCAAGAACUCAACAUUCAGAUCUCGCUGGCGCUGGGCUAGAUGGGCUUGCUGGUAUUUUAUAGUCUGGUCAUAAGAAGAUUUGUUGUCUUCAAGUAAAGCUAAAUGUUUACGUAGGAAUGACAACUGUUUUUAGAAGCAAGAAACUUGAAUUCGGAAUGGAACCCUUGAUGGAUUGAUGUUUGAUGAAGAAAGUCCUUGCAGCAAAGAAGAACAUGAAGCAGUCCAACCAACUGCUCCAAGAGGAACCAAGGCGACGUGCAAGUUGGCGUUUGUGAAGCUUUGUCGGAGCCAUUCCUGCUCUUCCAGAGCCACAAGGAUAGCCUAAAAGCAGAAGCGUGUCCGGCUGUUGUACGAGAAGAAGUGUGCACGGCUGAGGAGCCAGGGCGCCAAUGGUGCGGAGUCGUUCGCCAUCAAGAGGACCAAAGCUGCCAUCAGUGACCACCGGAUCAAGCUCAACAUCUCCCUCGCCUCCGUCAACGCCCUAUUCCAGAGGGUCGUCGCCGUCCAUGAUGAGCCCGCAGCUCGCCGAGCUCAUCCAAAUGCGGGCAAGGAUGUGGCGACUCAUCGGCAACAUGCACUAGGUGAUGUAGCGCAUAGCGGACUAGGCGAGCGUGCUCCUCUCGUUGUGGGCCAUAUGGUUGGAGGGAGGCAUCAAGGGCUCGCUGCUACCGGGGCGGACAAGCGCACAAUUUAUAUUGAUAUAUCUUAUUUUGCCAAACAGCAAGAUAUAUGCUCCUGAUGCUAUUAACCUGACAGGGAAUUUCAGUUUCUUUCACAUGAUACAUCAAUAAAUAUACAGAGAUCUAGAUGUGUUGCAUUUCCGCUGGUUUCUUCUACUAUAAAUAUCAGUCUUUUCAUAGCAACAUUACAUGUAUACAAAACACACUACUUUAAAUAGGAUAGUAGAAGGGGCGCGUCCUACUUGGCACCGCCUUUGCUUCCGCUCAAGCGGCGCGCCACGGGCGCGCCCCAACCACUAGUAUGUAUAAAUACAGGGAGUUGCGAGGACAUGUACACACCAUCCGUCCAGUUCCUCGACAUAGAUCCUACUACCACUGAAACAUUCUUUUCUGUAGCCCCAUAAUUGGAGCUUAAUUUGAUCCUGUAAUUGGUUAAGGUCCAUGGCGAUCAGGUCUUUGCUGCUCCCUCUGGCCCUGCUGGCUCUCGCAGCUAGCUCGGCACGGUGGCUAAUCUAGAGAUCGGCUUCUACAGCAAGACAUGCCCCGACGCUGAGAAGAUCGUCCGCCAGGAGAUGGCCAAGAUCAUCGCCGCCGCGCCCAGCCUCGCCGGCCCGCUCCUCCGUCUUCAUUUCCACGACUGCUUCGUCAGGGGUUGUGAUGCCUCUGUCCUGCUCGAAUCCACCGACGGCAACGUGGCGGAGAAGGACGCCAAGCCGAACAAGAGCCUGCGAGGGUUCGGCUCCGUGGAGCGGGUGAAGGCCAAGCUCAAGGCCGCGUGCCCGGGCAUCGUCUCCUGCGCCGACGUGCUCACCCUCAUGUCCCGCGACGCUGUCGUGCUGGCUAAAGGACCCUUCUGGCCGGUGGCGUUGGGAAGGAGAGACGGUAGGGUGUCCAGUGCCACGGAGGCAAGCAACGAGCUGCCCCCGGCCUCCGGCGACGUCCCUCUGCUCGCCAAGAUCUUUGCCUCCAGGGGCCUCGACCUCAAGGACCUCGUCGUCCUCUCCGGCGCCCACAUGCUCGGCACGGCGUACUGCCCGUCUUUCGCCGACCGCCUCUACACCACCACCAGCGAGAACGGUACCUCUGGCCUCGUCGACCCGUCUCUGGACAGCGAGUACGCUGACAAGCUGAGGCUCAAGUGCAAGAGCGUUGAUGACCGCACUAUGCUGUCUGAGAUGGACCCUGGUAGCUUCAAGACUUCUGAUACCAGCUACUACCGCCACGUCGCCAAGCGGAGGGGUCUCUUCCGCUCCGACGCGGCGCUCCUCCUCGACGCCACCACCAAGGACUGCGUCCAGCGUAUCGCCACAGGCAAGUUCGACAGCGAGUUCUUCAGGGACUUCAGCGAGUCCAUGAUCAAGAUGGGCGACGUGGACGUACUCACCGGGGCCGAGGGAGAGAUCAGGAAGAAGUGUCAUGUCCUCAAUUAGUGCUUGUUCAUUAUUUACUGUAAGUGCACGAGUUCGAUGUUAGUUGUGUGGAACUAUUUAUUGUAGGAGUGAGAUUUAUUAUUGAGUAAAAAUCAUUUG
rnacentral:rRNA from 1 species